GCUAGUAACCGCGCAUCAGCCAUGGCGCGGUGAAUACGUUCCCGGGCCUUGUACACACCGCCCGUCAAGCCAUGGAAGCCGGGGGCGCUUGAAGUGCGUUGCCGCAAGGCGCGCCCUAGAGCGAAACCGGUGACUGGGGCUAAGUCGUAACAAGGUACC
rnacentral:rRNA from 1 species